AUGCUUUCAAAUUUUUUGCUUAACGAUGCAUUUAUUGUAAAACCGUCUUUUUUGGUGGAUAAAUUUUAAAUUCAUAAAAAAAAAAAUCAAAACAUAAUCCAAUCUAAGGUCAAGGUUCAAGUAUGAAACAUCACCAUUAUAGUCACAUAUGUCUUU
rnacentral:sRNA from 1 species